GUGUGGAUCGUGGAGAGUAGCAUGAGCCUCCACAUGCUGUGAGUCUCCGCGGUGUCAUGCACAACGAGUCACGUGAUAAGAUGCACGGAUUGACGGUCUCAGAAGCGGAGGCAACUGAGACUUGUCCUCCACCACCCGGAUUGAGGUGAGUAACCGCGCCACCACGAGGACCUACUAAGUAGUGGGAAUUGGGCGUUCCAAAAUUGGGAGAAAAGGGGAUAAAAUAAAAAUAUAUAUAUAUAUAUAUUUGUGGUAAUCAACAUCAUGUCACCAAUGCUGUCGAUUGAGCUUCACAUGUUUUAAACAUGAAACAUUCCUUUAAAACUCCUAACAACAUGAAAUAGAGUGCCUUAUUGCUUUUAUAGAACUGUUACUGCAUAUUAAAUAUUUUUGAAGCCGUGAGUGUGCAGCGAUAUAAACAAUAGCAGGGGGAAAAGUGUUUUGUGUCAUAGCAGUUACUGUACACAUGACCACAAAUACCCAACUGAGUAUUGCAUGCACAAAGAUUUUCUCACAAUCUAGUUUCUGCAUAGCUGACUUUAUAUUAAUCAAGGAACAUCCGCUAUACAAUCUUGCAGGUAAAGGUGUGUUAGCCAGAGCUCAGAGCUGCUCUCUGCUGGUUAAUAUCUGAACUUUGAGCCUCAUGUGUCAAUCAGCACAGUUAACACGCUUCAGUCAGUCACUUAGAAUGCUGUUUUAAUUGUAUUUGUUAGUUCAAAAUUAGAUUUAAAAUGUUUAAUGUCAUUUUGAUUUGUUCUUCAUACAUAUUCUGCCUGACCGUUUUGUCUGUAGGUUUGCCAAGUCAAUAAAUAAUGGAAAAUACUGUAA